GAUGAACGCUGGCGGCGUGCCUAAUACAUGCAAGUCGAGCGAACAGACGAGGAGCUUGCUCCUCUGACGUUAGCGGCGGACGGGUGAGUAACACGUGGAUAACCUACCUAUAAGACUGGGAUAACUUCGGGAAACCGGAGCUAAUACCGGAUAAUAUAUUGAACCGCAUGGUUCAAUAGUGAAAGACGGUUUUGCUGUCACUUAUAGAUGGAUCCGCGCCGCAGUAGCUAGUUGGUAAGGUAACGGCUUACCAAGGCGACGAUGCGUAGACGACCUGAGAGGGUGAUAGGCCACACUGGAAGUGAACCACCGUCAAGGCUACUAAGGGAGGGAGCAGUAGGGAAUCUUCCGCAGUGGGCGAAAGCCUGACGGAGCAACGCCGCGUGAGUGAUGACGGUCUUCGGAUCGUAAAACCCUGUAAUUAGGGAAGAACAAAUGUGUAAGUAACUAUGCACGUCUUGACGGUAACUAAUCAGAAAGCCACGGCUAACUACGUG
rnacentral:rRNA from 1 species